UUAAAUUAACUAUAUCCAUUGGAAGGAAAAUGAAGAGUGCUUGCCGGCUGUUUAUUUUCAAAUCCAGGAAUAUUUAUUGAGGGUCUAAGGACUUGAGCUUAAAUUCUAGAAACUAAACCUUCAUUGUCAGCUUUCCUGUAAGUCCAAGAAUAUAUAUCAUUCCAUAAAGAAUUGAAAACAGAGAUAAAACUGGGAAAUCUCUUGCAGCUUAAACCUUCUAUGAAUUUACUCCAGGCUUUUAGCAAUGAACAAUUUAAAGAACUUGAAGAAGCCCCUUGUGCCACGCCGCUGCUCUGCAGCUUCGGGAGGCCUGUUGACCUGGAGAAGGACGACUACCAGAAGGUGGUGUGCAACAACGAGCACUGCCCGCACAGCGCCUGGAUGCACCUGCAGUGCUUCUACGAGUGGGAGAGCAGCAUCCUGGUCCAGUUCAACUGCAUCGGCCGUGCCCGCAGCUGGAACGAGAAGCAGUGCCGCCAGAACAUGUGGACCAAGAAAGGCUACGACCUGGCCUUCCGCUUCUGCUCCUGCCGGUGUGGGCAGGGCCACCUGAAGAAGGACACAGACUGGUACCAGGUGAAGCGGAUGCAGGACGAGAAGAAGAAGAAGUCUGGCUCGGAGAAGAACACCGGGAGGCCCCCUGGCGAGGCGGGGGAGGAGGCGAAAAAGUGCAGGCCCCCGAACAAGCCCCAGAAAGGCCUGAACCACGACCUCCCCCGCCGGCAUUCCAUGGACCGGCAGAACUCCCAGGAGAAGGCCGUCAGCGCCGGGGCCUACGCGGCCCGCUCCCCGUGCGGCUCCCCCGGCCAGUCCCCGCCCACCGGCUACUCCAUCCUCUCUCCUGCCCACUUCAGCGGCCCCCGCUCCUCCAGAUACCUUGGGGAAUUCUUAAAGAACGCCAUCCAUCUGGAGCCUCACAAAAAGGCCAUGGCGGGGGGCCACGUGUUCCGAAAUGCCCACUUUGAUUACAGUCCCGCCGGGUUAUCAGUUCACAGGGGCGGCCACUUUGAUGCGCCCGUACAGUUCCUGCGGCGGCUGGACCUCUCCGAGCUCCUCACCCACAUCCCCAGGCAUAAACUGAACACUUUCCACGUGCGGAUGGAAGACGAUGCCCAAAUGGGCCAGGGCGAGGAUCUGCGCAAGUUCAUUCUUGCGGCCCUCAGUGCCAGCCACAGAAAUGUUGUAAACUGUGCCCUGUGCCACCGGGCGCUCCCGGUGUUCGAACAGUUCCCACUGGUGGACGGAACUCUGUUCUUAAGCCCAUCGAGACAUGAUGAGAUCGAGUACGAUGUUCCUUGUCACCUUCAAGGGAGACUCAUGCACCUCUACGCCGUGUGCGUGGACUGCCUGGAGGGCGUUCACAAGAUUAUCUGCAUCAAGUGUAAGUCGCGCUGGGACGGCAGCUGGCACCAGCUGGGCACCAUGUACACCUACGACAUCCUGGCCGCCUCUCCCUGCUGUCAGGCACGUCUGAACUGUAAGCACUGCGGGAAGCCGGUGAUCGACGUGCGGAUUGGGAUGCAGUACUUCUCCGAGUACAGCAAUGUCCAGCAGUGUCCACACUGUGGGAACCUGGACUACCAUUUUGUGAAGCCAUUUUCCUCCUUCAAAGUCCUCGAAGCUUAUUGAUGAAAGCUUUGCUUUGGUCUUCGAGCUUGGAAUUGUCAGAAAAGACACAAGAAAAGGUUUUGAUCAUUAUUCAGAACUCAGCAGAACAACGCUAAUUACAUUUGUCAGUGUUCAGAUGGGAUUGGCCACCAGAACACCCCUUCCCGGUGAUGGACACCAGGCCACGUACCUUCUGAUCAACGCGAUUGAAAAUUUAGAUCGUAUCUUAAAAACAACCCCAAAUGGAAACAACUCAAAUGUCCAUCAACAGGACAAUGGAUGAACAAAAUAUGGAAUAUCUCUACAGUAGAAUUCUACUCGGCAACUAAAAGGAACAAGCUAUUGAUACGUGCAACAGCAUGGAUGAAUCUCAAUUACACUGAAGUGAAAGAAGCCAGAGGAAAAAAAAAGGACAUACUGUAUGAUUCCAUUUAUGUAAAACUUUAGAAAAUGCAAAUGAAUCUAUAGGGACACAUCCCCCGAGGGAUGACUUAUAUACCAUAAACAUUUUAUUUAAAUUUAAAUCCGGAAUACACAUUCAUUUGACAAAUUCAGUUCUUUCGUUUGUUUUAAUGUGUGAUUCCUGCAGUUGUAGGACCAUGCAGCCUUUUUUGCAAAAUCUUUUGUGAUGCAUUCUCUAAUACUACUUUCCAUUUGGUUAUCUUUAAAAUGUGGUAAGAACUUAAAGAUACAGUGUACAUAUAAAAACUCGGUAGACGUUUGGGAUUUUUGUCCCCUAAUCUUUUACUGUUUUAUCUCUUAUGUGUAACUCAAUAAUAUUUUUAAUGUGUGUGUAAUUUGUCUGAUCUUUCCAAAACAUCCUACUGAGUUAUUGAAAUAGUAUUUUCUUUUUAUAAUUCUAUUUCAUUGGCUUAUAUACUAUUUUUAAUAAAUUUCAUUGUUGCAGUGACAAGUGUAACUGGCGUAAACAAGUUCGGGAACAAACACGAUUAACUUUCGGUAAGCACACAAAUUUUGCUGCGGGAAACCCAGUGCAGUCCCUGCCUAACAGCUGGGCCACCAGCCACCAGCAUUCACAGACUGAGGCCAUUCAUCACUGUGCAGUUUUGCAAAAUGAAUUAGAAUCAGUGCAUUUGCUGGAUUGGCUAAGUCGAGGUCAGUUAAGGGAGAUUCUACUGCUCCAACUGUCUAAUGCUCACUUUCCUCAUCUGUAAAUAUGAAGAAUAUCGACUUGUGGGUAUGGGUAUCAUUGAGGUAUAAGUGAAGUAAUGUAAGUAAAGUGCUGACUACAAUCCUGGCGUGGAGUAAGUGCUGAAAAUGUGCCUUGUUAGGAUCAUGUAUUGUAUUUUAGAAAGCAUUCAUAAAGUUAGGGCAGGAAGCACCUUCUAUACUGUCUGACUCAACUUGUUUGUUUUGCAGAUGGAGAAAGUGGCUCCACAACACACACCAGCAUGUAGGGCUGAAGGUCUUGAGCCUCCCCAAGGGGGUAACCCUAAGGAAACUCCACAGGGAGCUUCUUUCCAAGGGGCUCCUGAAAACCUGGGGAGUUAUCUAACACUAGGGGAGGGAUUGCAGAGCUUAUAUCAGACUCAUAAAAGAGCUGCUUUGGGGAGCAGCCUUUGCAGAAGGCUGACCAUCUCAUAGCUAUGAACGUCUUUUAAACACGUUUGCUGAAUUCUGCUUUUGAAUUGCUGGUAUUCCUUCACGUAGCUCAAAUCAGUGGGUGUGUGAAGCAAAGUAAAACCAGGCCUCAGACUGAAUUAAGGGGAUGCAAAGGUUGGGGGAUGAAUAAUAGAUGAAAUCUGACUUAGGAAGGCAGGGAUGAAAUUUUGUGAAAGCCCUAUUGGACUUUUCCCACUUGGGUUUAGCUUCAAACUGAGACUUACACUGAAAAACGUAUUUCUUCUUGGGCUGGAAAAGGAUCCAUUUCUUCCCCUUGGUGAUGAAAACAACCAGCUGCCCACCAGUUGCGUUGUGCCGGUGGAUUUUUCCAUCUGAAGUAUGCCCAUGAAGUAUGGCAUCCACACUCCUGACGUAGUGCAGUGAAUGUCACAGAUAACACUUGGAAUGUGGUGGCAACAUCGCUGUCAUUCUGCGCUGGCCUGAUGAUGCCUUUAGUGCUGGCGUUUCCUUGUCCUGGCCCUGUCCAGCCUGGGGGAUCUAGGUUGCACAUUGUACUGGCUGAAAUGCUGCCGGGUCGUGAACCCCUGGAAGGCACUUGACCUCAACAGCCAGCUGUAGCCCAAGGCCUGGUCUCAGAGGUCAGAGACCUGCGUUUAAAUUGUGCCUCUUACGCACUCAGGCAAAUCACUUAACCUUUCAGAUCAUGCUUUCUGUUACAGCAUGAAAACACAAAUACCAACUUUCUAAUAUUCUUAAGUGUGAUUUACUGAAUUAAUAGACUCAAUGAAUUUAGAAACCAACCCUUCAAUGAGAAAUAGGAGAGGUUAUUAAAGUGAGAAAGUCAGCGAUGAUUCCAUUUAUUUGUACUUAAAAAAAAAAUAGCAUCUAUCCCAAAUGCCUUUGACCUUUGGUGUUAAACAACGGUGACUGUCUCACUAAAAUUAGCCUUGCGCUUGUCAUACUCGAUGUGCUAAUAAAUGCUAUUCAAUUUAGCAUUUUAUUGAGCACAUACUAUGUGCAGGUCUAGGCACUACCAGGAGCCCUGGUUAUUUGUUCAGGAGGCAGAUCAUCUUCAAAGCUGUGAACAUCUUUUAAAAACCACACCACAUUCUUCUUUUGAAGUGUCGGCAACCCAUGAGAGGUGACAAGACUCCCUGAGGUGUAUACACCUAAAAUAGUUCUUGCUGAGAAUUUCUGUGUUCAUCCGUGAUUGUCUACCCUAAGACCAAAAUGAAAGUUUAAUUUUAGGUCUGUUUUAAAAGAACUAACACAGCAUUUAACUUGAUAAGGUUUGCAUUUUUAGGUAAGAAGAAUUGCAUUCGAUUGAAAAAAUUCUGAGGGAAAUUUCCCUCCUGGCCUACCUCUCAUUUACAUUUUUGUCAGCUUUUUAAAUACAUGUGUGGCGCUUUGUGUGCAGAGAAGCAAGGGCCUUUUGAAGAAUUGAGUUUGACUUUCAGUCAUUUUCCAGAUGUCUUUAAUCUGGUGUCUCUGUAGGCAGGAUAUGGGCUGUGGUUCUCAUUCUUUUGAAUUUGGGAUUUUGACAUUAAGCACUUAAAUGAUGCUUAGUGUAAGAAGUACUAAUGUUUUAUUAUAGCUUUCUGGGUGAAAAACAUUGUAAAGGAGGUGACAAGCAUAUUUCGUUUCUGUUGCUAAGAACUUUAUGGUUUAAAGCUGAUGUGCAUAUUUGGAUUUGCAUUAGUCGAAAGUUUUAAGAAAAUAUCUCUAGCAAAUCAUCUAAGCUAUGUGAGAAAACUUACUCAGAAUUGCUAAGUUCUAACAUUCAAAAGAGAUGAUUUUAUCUAAGAAGGAUACUAUUUAAAAUAGUCAAGUUGAAGGUUUUUGUUCCUAGAACUGCCUCUUUUAAGGUUGGAACAAGUACUUUGACACUUAAUUUUCUUGGUUUACACAUUAUUUAAAUUAAAAAGAUAUUCAUUAUGAGUCUAUAAAGAUUUCAAAAUUUAUUAUUAAACCCCAAAGAAAGGAAAUCAAGUCUUGAAGUAAAUGGAGUUCUCUGCUGUGAAGAUGUACUCAUUUUGAAAGUAUAUAGUUCCAGGUCAGAUUUCUAAUAUGGUCCAAAGAAGUAAGCUUUCAACUCUUCCAACAAAAUACUACUGUCUUUGCAACUGGCGGGGGGAGGGUACGGGUGGGUGGAGGGCAGAGCCACAUGAAAAUAGAGGUUUAUUGGAUUGCAGUGUCAGCAUUUGGGAAGAGUGAUCUUGUUGAGCAUGAAGUUGCCCAGACGUGAGGUACAGAGAAAUUGCUAGGCUGUUGUGCUCUGGAAAUCCUGCGACAGGACUCCAUGUAGAUAGUACUCUGAUGAUGCUCUUCUCGAGGGCAGGGACUGUAUUUUGGACAUCUGGGAUUCAUAAUGCCUGGUACAGGGCCUCACCCAUUAGCAAUCCGUUCAGUGAACGUGCUGGCAGCUAUGCAUACCAGAGGCACAAAGGGGCGCGCUUAGGAGUAUUCAGAGUGCUUAUCUCUUCAUCUCUUGUCCUGUAGUACACACUGUGCUGUGCUUUCUGGUUUUGCUUGCCGAUGCCUGUUCCUUUGGGGAUUUCUUUCAGAAAAUCAACUGUCAAAAUACUAAACAUAAAGAAAAGACCUGAGUUAUAAGAACUGACCUCUGUUCUGGGCCAUUGGUAAAAAUCACUCUCUCUCACAUGUUUAGAGUAAAGGUGAUCAUGUUUAAGAUUAUUUAAGGAGUUAAGAUUCAAAAAUUAGAAAAUGUCAGAAAUAGAAGUUGCCUUAAAAAUCCUCUUUCUCAAUCCCCUCACUGUGUAGAAAGAAAACAGAUACAAGGAUUGUUUAGACUUGAGGCCUCUAGAGCUCUGCCAUCCAGUGCAGCAGCCACUACCCACACGUGGCCGUUCAAAUUAAAUUUAAAAAAAUUUCAAAUUAAAAGCCACAUUUUUAGUUUUCAAUAGCUGUGCACGGCUAGUGGCUAUCAUGUAUGAUAGUGCCAUUUAUAAAACAGUUCCAUCAUUAAAGAAAGUUCUCCUAGACUGUGCUAGACUAGAUUUUUUCACCAAAGCGCUUUCCUCUCCAUUGUGAAACCCUUAAUGAAUGGUCACCUGAUGAUUGUCCCCUAACACUAUCAUAUGUUUCAAUAAAUGAUUUAAAAU